rnacentral:tmRNA from 1 species
GGGGGCGAAACGGUAUCGACCGGAUGCUGUCGAGAUCGGUUUUGCGUGCCGAGGUUCCAGGAGGCCUCGUAAAACCCCUGGAAACAACUUUAUGUGCCGAUACGCACUACGCAAUGGCUGCCUAGAAGGCCUGCCACGAGCUCAGGGCCUUGUUCGCGGGUCCUGAUCCUCGUCACAGAGCGAACUGGCUGAAUCGGGCUGCCUGGCCCCGCCUCAGCGAGAUUUUUGUCAGGCUGGUCCUCACGAGCCCCGUCCCCGGGGCCCCGUGAAGAUGAGACAGAAUCGGGGACUAUGCACGUAGACGGACCGAUCCGGGCAUCACGGGACGGGGGUUCGACUCCCCCCGCCUCCACCA